CAGAACAGAGAUGGAACCAGAGCAGCCGGAGUCAUUUCAUCUUUGGAGCACUUGGUUACGGUUAUCUUCCUACCUCGGACGCACCGGGGAGCACCGUCCUCGGGGUGUUACUCACAGUUUAUGACCCUCGUCAAUGUAUGGAAGUCUGUGUGCGACGGGGGUCGAGGGAGCCAGAGCGGCAGACACUGGAGGAGAGAGGACAUGUAAUUGAAUUAGUAAUGAUUGAGUUCAUUGACACGCACAAUCCUAAUCACCUACCAUUUAAAGGACCCUUGAGUAAAAGCCAUGGCUUGCAAGAGGGCAGAUGGAUAAGCAGGAUAGUCUCAGUGGGCUAAAUGUCAAAGGCAGACGUAAACCCCCCGAGUGUUCACACGUAUCGCCGUCCUUGCACAAGAACACUGUGAAGGACAAACACCG